UUUGGCGUAGCUCAGUGGUACAGCGCUUGCCUAGCAAGUGCAAGGCCCUGGGUUCGGUCCCCAGCUCCGGAA
rnacentral:tRNA from 1 species